AGUGAACGCUGGCGGUAGGCCUAACACAUGCAAGUCGAGCGGCAGCGGGAAAGUAGCUUGCUACUUUUGCCGGCGAGCGGCGGACGGGUGAGUAAUGCCUGGGAAAUUGCCCAGUCGAGGGGGAUAACAGUUGGAAACGACUGCUAAUACCGCAUACGCCCUACGGGGGAAAGCAGGGGACCUUCGGGCCUUGCGCGAUUGGAUAGGCCCAGGUGGGAUUAGCUAGUUGGUGAGGUAAUGGCUCACCAAGGCGACAAUCCCUAGCUGGUCUGAGAGGAUGAUCAGCCACACUGGAACUGAGACACGGUCCAGACUCCUACGGGAGGCAGCAGUGGGGAAUAUUGCACAAUGGGGGAAACCCUGAUGCAGCCAUGCCGCGUGUGUGAAGAAGGCCUUCGGGUUGUAAAGCACUUUCAGCGAGGAGGAAAGGUUGAUGCCUAAUACGUAUCAACUGUGACGUUACUCGCAGAAGAAGCACCGGCUAACUCCGUGCCAGCAGCCGCCGUAAAAC
rnacentral:rRNA from 1 species